CCGGACCUGACUGCUAUCGGAUUGGUACUAAGCCAUGCGAGUCAUUGUAGCAAUACAAGGCGGACGGCUCAGUAACACGUAGUCAGCCUAACCUAUGGACGUGGAUAACCUCGGGAAACUGAGAAUAAACCGCGAUAGAUCAUUAUGCCUGGAAUGGCUUAUGGUUCAAACAAUUUAUUGCCGUAGGAUGGGACUGCGGCCUAUCAGCUUGUUGGUGAGGUAAUGGCCCACCAAGGCUAUAACAGGUACGGGCUCUGAGAGGAGAAGCCCGGAGAUGGGUACUGAGACACGGACCCAGGCCCUAUGGGGCGCAGCAGGCGAGAAACCUUAGCAAUGUGCGAAAGCACGACUAGGUUAAUCCGAGUGAUUCCUGUUGAAGGAAUCUUUUGUCAGUCGUAAAACCACAGACGAAUAAGGGGUGGGCAAGUCUGGUGUCAGCCGCCGCGGUAAUACCAGCACCUCGAGUGGUCAGGAGGUUUAUUGGGCCUAAAGCAUCCGUAGCCGGCUUUGCAAGUCUCCGGUUAAAUCCAGCUGCUCAACAGAUGGGCUGCCGGAGAUACUACACAGCUAGGGAGCGGGAGAGGCAGACGGUAUUCUGUGGGUAGGGGUAAAAUCCAUUGAUCCAUAGAGGACCACCAGUGGCGAAGGCGGUCUGCCAGAACGCGUUCGACGGUGAGGGAUGAAAGCUGGGGGAGCAAACCGGAUUAGAUACCCGGGUAGUCCCAGCUGUAAACGAUGCAAACUCGGUGAUGCAUUGGCUUAUGGCCAAUGCAGUGCCGCAGGAAGCCGUUAAGUUUGCCGCCUGGGAAGUACGGACGCAAGUCUGAAACUUAAAGGAAUUGGCGGGG
rnacentral:rRNA from 1 species